rnacentral:lncRNA from 1 species
AACAGUUUAAAAGUGGAAAGAGCAAAAUACCUUUACAUGGAAAGAUAUACACAGUGCUGCUGAAGAACACAGUUUGGCUGAACUAUUGGUAGCCUUUCUCCUCUCCCCUGCUGUUCCCUCUCCUCCUGUAAAGGUGAGAUGGUGAUUAAGUGCAUGGACUCUGGAACCACACAGGUGGGUUUGAUUCCGCCCUCUGCUCCUUCCUGGCUUUGCAGUUGUGCUCAAAUGAUGAUCCUUUAUGUUCCUCACUUUACCUUAUCUGUAAAAUGAGGCUAAAGUAAUUCUUACCCAAAGGGGCUUUAGUAAUGCUUAGUUGAGUAAAUAUAUAUAACGUUUAAAAUAUAUAACAGUACUAAAUGUAAGAUAUUGCUAUUAUUUAUAGAUCCUAUAAAUACUUGAAAGAUUUUUUGUGUGAUUUCUUAACCUGCUAUGUAUAGUCCUUAGAAAAGAACCCAUAGAGAGGUACUUAUUUUUUGAUCAUGUUGAGGCAAAGAAAAUAUCAUUAUAGUUCUAGCCAGUUGGUAUUUCUUAUUCUGAUGAAACACGUAAAUGGCACAUGGGAAGUUUUACUAUUUAGGGAAAUAAAAGUCAGUAUAAAAUAAGAGCAGUUCAACAGUCAGUAAGUCAAUUCUAUGAAUUUUUUUUUCUAUGAUCAGCUUUUCCUUGCCAUGUUGAUCAAAUGCUGAGUGCAAUUGUUUCUUGGAAUGGCACUUAUUUGCAUGCUGAGAUACUGUAAGGCACAAGGUAACACAGGGCCCAAGAACCACACACUUUUUAGGUUGGAGGACCUGAUGGUUUAUCAAGGAUACCUGCCAAGAGUGAACAGUACAUGCAAAGUCACUUUCUUCCUUGAGUUUCUCCUAACAGGAAUUGAUCCCUAGCUUACACGGGUAUUGUAAAGCCUGGAUAAAAACUGUGAAAAAUGCUGAAACAAAACUAAAUCCUACUAAGCUAUCAAUGAGUACAUUUACCUCAUGUUGCUAAUUUUGAGUACUUUAUUGUUUGACCAAUUGUUCUGUGGUCACUUGGCUAUUUAAAUUAAAAUAAACUGUGAAGCACCGACAGAUGCUGGGUGCUGUUACAGGGUCUGGAUACAGAGUUGAAUGAGAGGAGUCCUGUCCUCAAUAGAAAGCAUUGUCUAACAGGAGAGAUACUCAUUAUCUUCAUCUAAUUAUAAUGCACAUGGUAAUACAUGGUGUCAGUACCAACACAUGGCUGGAAAGAUGAUACAAAGAGAGGGCUUAUUCUUCUGGAAAUAUGAGAUACAGGUGGUUUUGAAGGAUGACUAGAUGGUAACCAAGUCUUAACUCUAGGAGCAGCCAAACAGUACACAAUGUUUCUAGUCCAUGCAUUUAGUCUAUUGACGUGAGCGUGUGGGUUGAAGGAUGGAGACUGUCAUGAUGCAUGUGGCAGGAAAGAUGACAAAACCUUAAGCAAAGCAGUAACAAUGAAAAUGGAGAGGCAGGCGUUUAUUUAAUAUCUUGAGGCAUCAUCAGGACUUGAUGACUGGUGCUGCAUAGGUUUAGGGAAGUUGAAAUUGGAGAUGAUGUGUCUUGAAUUUGUGACGCUACUGAGAUGGGGAUGCAGCCCAUUUUUGUUUUGUUUUGCUCAUUUUGCUUUUGUCUGGCAAGAAUGUGUGUGCUGAUAAUUCAGACUGAGGUAGUUCAAUUUCGAAUAUCUUGUUACCAUGCAAUCAAAACCACCUUUACCUGUUACCUCUGGUGUUCGGCUCCUCACACUGCCUUGACUGACAGUUGCUCUUUGCCAUGCUUCUCAUAGUUUCCCUGGCUCAUUUUUUCCCUGUUCUACAGUGUGUCUUCAGAGCUCUUGGUUUUUAACGCUAGUGACAAGAAUAGACCUGACCCAACUAAAACAGAAACAGCUUUUUCUGUGAUUCACAUAAGACACACAUCUAGAAAACAGAACCCACUCUCUGGGCGACAGUAUUCCAGGUGACGGUUUGGGGCCUUGCAAUCUUCCAGAUCCCUAACUGGGCAUGAGAAUUAGCAAAGGAAAGUAAACAGACCAUUUCAGCACACCAGGAAACUCUCUCCAGUCACAAAUACAUUCCUAUUCCUGAGAAUUAUACACAAGUCAAUAAAGAUUAACUAAACAGUUGGAAAUACAGCUAAAUAGAAGCUGAGACUUUAAAAAUCGCUCAAGAAUUAUGCACAUUGCAAGCGGUUUGGCAAGAAGCUCCUGCACGUUUCCUUUUUGCUCUGUUUCUUAACACAGUUUCUUUAAAAACACAGACAAACGGAGAGCCUCUAUUAACGGAUACUUGAACACUUGAGCUGUGUUCACAGUUUGUGUCUUAAACUCAAAGCCUCAAUUCAGACUAGUGAUGGAUGAGUUUUUUCCUUUUUUUUCUGAUAAAAAAUUAUUUUUAAAGUUGUAAUAUAAAAUGUGAACAUGUAAAAAUGACAUAUGUUAAACAAAAGCAUAUUUCAAGAGUUUUGGAAACAAAUGAAAGCACAUCUUCCUUUGGUUUGUCAAUAUAUAUUUCAAUGUCAGUCUAACAGUAGUUUAAAGUACCUAUAACUGUGACUGGGGCACAUUUUUAGAAAAUAACUAUUCAAUUCAUGAACCCAAGGGAUCAAUGAAUUUUUAAAAAUUUCCAUUAACUUCCUCCUUUUGCUCCUGUUGUAAUUUGUGUAUUUUUUUCCAGGAUGAAGAUAGAAAAUAAAACUCCACUUAAUCAAUUUUGCUCUUUGAGUGUAGCUUCACUACAAAAGUAGAUGAAGUUAGGAGGUUUAAAUUAUUCCACAAACUGGAAUAAGGUUUCUAAUGAUUAUGUGUGUUUGGAUUUAUUUAUACCAGUUUCCCUAAUUACUAUUUAUAAUUUUAAAAUAGAGUUAAAUCAUAGGAACCAUAAUAUUUCAAUUCUGGAAUGCUUUUUGGAGGGAAAUAUAAACUAUAAUAAUUUGAUAAUUUUUGUAAGUAGUUAAAAGUCUGCUAUUUUAAAAUUACCAAAUACUUUAAAAUGUCUGUCUGGAAAAAACAAAACAAAACAAAAAAAACCCUUGUUUUUGGUUUCUAAAAGAAGUGAGCCAGUGUUGCUGGUUGUUCUGCUUUCAGUAAAAGUUUCUUUCUGGCAUAAUUGGUUAUCUCACUACUUAAAAAAAAAACAUUAAAUCUGAGAAUUUAACAAUUGCCGGAAAAAAAGAAAACAAACAGAAAAAUUUCAUCUUUAGAAGGUAGUUUUAAAAAGUCUUGAGAUCUGAGGAGUUCAUUUAAAAGUAGAUUUUAAAAACAUUUCAGAUUUGACUGAUGCUCUUAGCUACGAUUCCAGUUAACUUUUAAUAAUUUCAUUUUCAGUUAUUUUAAACUUGAAUUGUAUUAGCACAGACCAUAAUAAUAAUAAAAUUUGUUAUUUCAUACUAUUUUUAAUUGUUUAUUUCAGUUAUACUCUUUCCUCAGUUGAUGCUACUAUGCAGAACCAUUCUAAAUAAAUUGUCAACAAAUAGAAUUUUCCCUCAGAGGUUCAUCCUCCAUUCCUCAUUAUGACCCAAGACUUUGUGUAGUUCCUUAAAUAAAUAGGAGACCUUACUAUGGAGACCUCUUCUGAUGUUCUAAACUUUUCUUUCUUUCUCCCCCUUGAAGCUUUUUUUGCCUUUGGCUUCGUUCUGAACUCUACUCUCAGACUAUCCUUAAAGCACUAGUGACCAAAUGGCUUAAUAAUAGCUUCUACUUUCCAGGUAACAUCUUUCUAAAAAGCCAAAGCAAAGUAAUGCUAUGAAAGAAAAAAAAAUCAGGAAUGCUUUUUUUUUUUCUUCUUCUUUUUCAAGGGAAGACUUUUCAGUAUUUCCCGAAAUCAUACAUGUAGGAUUUGCUUUCUUGAUUUGGUAUCAUAUUUCCAUAGUACUCCCACCAUACACUUUAUGGGUCACAGCUUGAAGCCAUGCAGGAGUGCUAACUUUAUAGUCCCAUGUCUUGACUAUUGUGCAUAGUGCUGCAAUGAACAUAGGGGUGCAUGUAUCCUUCUGAAUCAAUGUUUUGUCCAGAUAUAUGCCCAGGAGUGGGAUUGCUAGUUUUCUGAGUACCUUCUUACUGUUUUACAUAAUGGUUGUACCAAUUUAUAUUGAAUACUACUCAGCCAUAAAAAAGGAUAAAAUAAUGCCAUUUGCAGCAACAUGGAUGCAGCUAGAGAUUCUCAUACCAAGUGAAGUAGGUCAGAAAGAGAAAGACAAAUACCAUAUGAUAUCCCUUACCUGUGGAAUCUAAAAUAUGGUACAAAUGAUCCUACCUAUAAAAAAGAAACAGAUCGUACACAUGGAGAGCAGACUUGUGGUUGCUGGGGGCAGGGAGGCAGAGGGAGUGGGAUGGAUGGGAAGUUUGGGGUUAGUAGAUGUAAACGACUAACAUUUGGAAUGGAUAAGCAGUGGGGUCCUACUGUACAGUACAGGGAACUAUGUCCAAUCUCUUGGAUUAGAACGUGAUGGAAGAUAGUAUUUUAAAAAAUGGGCAUAUGUGUGCCUGGAUCACUUUGCUGUACAGUAUAAGUUGAAGGAACAUUGUAAAUCAACUAUGCUUUAAUAAAAAUUAAAAAAAAAGAUUGAGAAACACUACUCUAGGGCAAUGUCAGGUUAGAAAGCAGAUAAUUAACCUGGCUGAAAGUCUUUCCUUUUAAUCUGGAGUCUGAUUUCUACCAAGGGUGGCACAGCUUUUAUGAAAUGGUGUACUCUCUUUUUUCUUUGGUAGAGAUAAAAGAUUAAAUAGGAGUUCCCAUUGUGGCUCAGUGGCUAACAAAUCCGACUAGGAACCAUGAGGUUAAGGGUUUGAUCCCUGGCCUCACUCAGUGGGUUAAGGAUCUGGAGUGCCGUGAGCUGUGCUGUAGGCUGCAGAUGUGGCUCGGAUCUCAAGGUGCUGUGGCUCUGGCACAGGGCAGUGGCUAUAGCUCUGAUUAGACCCUAGCCUGGGAACCUCCAUGUGCUGCGAGAGCAGCCCUAGAAAGAU